rfam:Saccharibacillus sacchari DSM 19268 genomic scaffold SacsacDRAFT_Scaffold1.1, whole genome shotgun sequence.
AGCACCUUUAAUUCAGUCCCGUGAGACUGGCAAGGUAACGUGAACGACGAUUCACUAAGAAUACGUCCGCCGAGAGCGGAACGAUUUUUAGCGCUCUUCGUCGAAUCAACAUGUCGAUUUCGACUCCUUGCCCGCCUGGGCAAGGAGUCUUUUUGC